UGGGGAAUAUUGGACAAUGGGCGCAAGCCUGAUCCAGCCAUGCCGCGUGAGUGAUGAAGGCCUUAGGGUUGUAAAGCUCUUUUACUGGGGAAGAUAAUGACGGUACCCAGAGAAGAAGCCCCGGCUAACUUCGUGCCAGCAGCCGCGGUAAUACGAAGGGGGCUAGCGUUGUUCGGAAUCACUGGGCGUAAAGCGCACGUAGGCGGACUUUUAAGUCAGGGGUGAAAUGCCAAGGCUCAACCUUGGAACUGCCUUUGAUACUGGAAGUCUUGAGUUCGGGAGAGGUGAGUGGAACUGCUAGUGUAGAGGUGAAAUUCGUAGAUAUUCGCAAGAACACCGGUGGCGAAGGCGGCUCACUGACCCUAUACUGACGCUGAGGUGCGAAAGCGUGGGGAGCAAACAGG
rnacentral:rRNA from 1 species